CAACUGCAAACCUACAACCCACACGU
rnacentral:piRNA from 1 species